AUACGGAGGAUCCAAGCGUUAUCCGGAUUUAUUGGGUUUAAAGGGUCCGCAGGCGGACUAUUAAGUCAGUGGUGAAAGUCUGCAGCUUAACUGUAGAAUUGCCAUUGAUACUGAUAGUCUUGAGUGUGGUUGAAGUGGGCGGAAUAUGACAUGUAGCGGUGAAAUGCAUAGAGAUGUCAUAGAACACCGAUUGCAAAGGCAGCUCACUAAACCAUUACUGACGCUCAGGGACGAAAGCGUGGGUAGCGAACAGGAUUAGAAACCCUAGUAGUCC
rnacentral:rRNA from 1 species